CUGCUCUAUGAUUAAUUUAAAUGGCUGCAGUAUUUUAACUGUACUAAGGUAGCAUAAUAAUUUGAUUAUUGAUUGUAAUCUGGAAUGAAUGGUUUUAUGAAUAUUUAUUUUAUUUAUUUCAUUAUUUUAAUUUAAAUUUUAAGUAAAAAUUCUUAUUUGGUAUAAUUAGACGAUAAGACCCUAUAAAUCUUUAUAAUUUUUUGUUUUUAUAAUUGAAGGAUUAUUUUGUUGGGAUGAUUAGGUGUUUUAUAAACGUGUUUUUUUAUAAAAAUGAAAAUUUUUAAUAAUAUUGAAAAAUAAAUUAAUUAAUGAAUAAGAUACUUUAGGGAUAACAGCAUAAUUAUUUAUUUUAGUUCAAAUAAAUUAAGUAGUUUGUGACCUCGAUGUUGAAUUA
rnacentral:rRNA from 1 species